rnacentral:rRNA from 1 species
UGCCAUCCGCCGCGGUAAUACGGAGGGUGCAAGCGUUAUCCGGAAUCACUGGGUUUAAAGGGUGCGUAGGCGGAUAAAUAAGUCAGAGGUGAAAGCUUUCCGCUUAACGGGAAAAUUGCCUUUGAUACUGUUUAUCUUGAAUUAUGUUGAGGUUAGCGGAAUGUGACAUGUAGCGGUGAAAUGCAUAGAUAUGUCAUAGAACACCAAUUGCGAAGGCAGCUAGCUAGGCAUAUAUUGACGCUGAGGCACGAAAGCGUGGGGAGCGAACAGGAUUAGAUA